UAGGGAAUUUUGCGCAAUGGGGGAAACCCUGACGCAGCAACACCGCGUGAAUGUUAAGCCCUUCGGGGUGUAAAGUUCUGUCAGUGGGGAAGAAUAAUGACUGUACCCACAAAGGAAGCACCGGCUAACUCCGUGCCAGCAGCCGCGGUAAUACGGGGGGUGCAAGCGUUGUCCGGAAUCAUUGGGCGUAAAGCGUUCGUAGGCGGUAAAGUAAGUCAGAUGUUAAAGCCCGGGGCUCAACUCCGGUUCGGCAUUUGAUACUACUUAACUAGAAUGUGGUAGAGGUAAAGGGAAUUCCUGGUG
rnacentral:rRNA from 1 species